CUACGGGUGGCAGCAGUGGGGAAUAUUGGACAAUGGGGGAAACCCUGAUCCAGCAAUGCCGCGUGUGUGAAGAAGGCCUGCGGGUUGUAAAGCACUUUCGGUUGGGAGGACUGCUUCUAGCACUAAUAUUGUUGGAAGUUGACGUUACCUUCAGAAGAAGCACCGGCUAACUCCGUGCCAGCAGCCGCGGUAAUACGGAGGGUGCAAGCGUGAAUCGGAAUUACUGGGCGUAAAGCGCGCGUAGGCGGCUAGAUCAGUCGGGUGCGAAAGCCCCGGGCUUAACCUGGGAACUGCAUCCGAUACUGUCUAGCUUGAGUACAGGAGAGGAGAGUGGAAUUCCACAUGUAGCGGUGAAAUGCGUAGAUAUGUGGAGGAACACCAAUGGCGAAGGCAGCUCUCUGGCCUGAUACUGACGCUGAGGUGCGAAAGCGUGGGGAGCAAACAGGAUUAGAUACCCCUGUAGUC
rnacentral:rRNA from 1 species